rnacentral:rRNA from 1 species
GACGAACGCUGGCGGCGUGCUUAACACAUGCAAGUCGAACGGAAAGGCCCCUUUGGGGGUACUCGAGUGGCGAACGGGUGAGUAACACGUGAGUAACCUGCCCUUGACUUCGGGAUAACUUCAGGAAACUGGGGCUAAUACCGGAUAGGAAUCCUUGCUGCAUGGUGGGGGUUGGAAAGCUUCGGCGGUUUUGGAUGGACUCGCGGCUUAUCAGCUUGUUGGUGGGGUAGUGGCUUACCAAGGCUUUGACGGGUAGCCGGCCUGAGAGGGCGACCGGCCACAUUGGGACUGAGAUACGGCCCAGACUCCUACGGGAGGCAGCAGUGGGGAAUAUUGCACAAUGGGCGGAAGCCUGAGGCAGGAACGCCGCGGGCGGGAGGACGGCCUUCGGGUUGUAAACCGCGUUCAGCAGGGGCGAAGCUUGGGGUGACGGUACCUGCAGAAGAAGCACCGGCUAACUACGUG